UGAAACCAGGAUUAGAUACCCUACUAUACUAAACUUCAAAGAAAACUUGAAUAUUAUAAGGUAAAAUCUUUAAAUUCAAAGAAUUUGGCGGUAAUUUAGUCUUUCCAGAGGAACCUGUUUUUUGAUCGAUACACCACGAAGAAUCUUACUUACCCUUAUUUUAUAAUUGUUUGUAUACCGUCAUUAUCAGAUAAUAUUUAAAGAUAUAAUUAUUAAGUAUUUUAAUAAAAACAAAAAUUAGAUCAAGGUGCAGCUAAUGGGUAAGUUAAAAUGGGUUACAAUUAAAUGAAUAUAAAAUGAAAUGAAAUUUGAAAUAAUUUUACGAAGGAGGAUUUGGUUGUAAUGUAAAUUAGUAUGAUAAAAAGAUAUAAGCUCUAGAUUAUGUACAUAUCGCCCGUCGCUA
rnacentral:rRNA from 1 species